rnacentral:rRNA from 1 species
UUGCGGCGAAGAGGAGAAGGUAAAAACAAGUAGAGAGUAGAGGAGGAGUGCGUGCGUGCGCGUGUGUGUGUCGCUGUGAGGCGAGGCGAGGCGAGGCUAGUGAGGUGUGGAGUGGGGGGGUGGGGUCGAGUGCGGGCGGCGGGGUGGGGUGGGGGUGGGUGGGGCGGCGGCGGCGGCGAGGGGCAUCUAGGCUAGACGGGGCUGGACUGGCUGGCGGGCGGCGGGCUAGCCUAGGCCGGGCUUCCCAAAGGCGCCAACCGAGUACCAAGUGCUACCGCGGCACUUCCUGGUCGUCGUCGCCCUCGUCGUCGUCCUCCUCCUCUCCAGCGGCCUAUAGGGGCGCGGAAGACGUAGACGCCACUGCCUCCGGCUCAGGCCCCGUCGCCUCCGCCCCCGCCGCUCUCGCCGCCUUCGCCCUCGCCCCCUCCCCCUCCGCCGUCAUCCUCGCCCCGGCAGGUUCGGGCCCUCGCUGUUCGCCGACCCGCACGCCGUGGGGCAGUUCAUGGCGGCCAAGGCCCGGUUCCCCUUCCGCUACCGCCUCGGGCCCCAGUGGGGGCGCGUGGUCGGCGACCUCCUCCUCGACCUCAACCUCCUCCCGCUCCCCCUCCAGCUCCUCCUCCGGAGGAGCGGGCUCGCCCUCCACGCCCGUCCGCAGCACCUCCACCUCCACCUCCACCUCUACCUCCACAGGAGGCGUCGUCAUCUCUACCUACACCUCCUCCCCCGGCCGUACCUGCACAGCGGCCGACGCCGGCACCGGUACCACCUGAGCCUCGUGAGUAGGCUCCUCCUCCUCCUUCUCCUCCACAGCAGUAGCGGCCACGACCGCGACGGCCUCGUCCGCUCCUCCUUCGUUCCCCGACGACACCACCGACGGCACGGCCGAGACCAGCACGGGUUCCUGGUCCUGGACCUCUUCCUCUUCUUCCUCUUCCUCUCCGUCUCCCUCUCCCUCUCCCAGCUGCUCCAGCCGAUGUACUCACCGCCGACGUUCUCACUACUACCUUCAAACUCAACACCUAUAAGUUCAAAAUCUCCUUUUUCCCGUUCGUACCUUCUGAAGAAACUGUAUUUUAGUAGAUUUUAACUACUAUUUGUUUAUUUAGAGAAGCCUUAUAAACUACCAGUACCCCCAAGUGCACGACGACUCAUAAACUUCCUCGUGAACAAACUCUUGGAGUACUUUGUGGGUGUUAAGUACAGUCUAUGUUUUAAUCGUUAUUCACUUUGUAUAUUUUUUUGACUAAGUCUAAAGAACCUAAGACUUUAGUUGUGAGUGUCUCUACUGCCCAGUUGACGUAGCUGUCGUCAAAACGAACCUUUAGUAGAAAUGCACCGAUUGCAUCCACUGAGAGCCCGACAUUAUAGUUUCAGCCCGUUUCGAUAACGUGAGAGACUACUAGUGUUCGGUUUGUCUUCACUACUCUCCUUUGCUUAACUCUCACGACCACCCUAACAAUACACCCGACCUUGAACCUCCCAACCACCACAUGAACGUUACAGAGCCCGUAAACCGUUGGCGAACAACUUCGUUAAACAACAGCGCCUUGGUCUCUAAGUCCUUGUUCUUUAUCUACUACUUAACCUCAAAGACUAAAACCGAUCACUACCCGACACCCUACACCAAGGUUUACUCCUGCGGCAGAGAGAGCACUUCUACCAACUCCUGGGGCUCCGCCGCCGGGCCUUCGACUGCCUCUGACGAAAGCCGGCACCCUCGCCGCUGUUGUAGUGGACGCAGCAGCAGUUCAAGGUCGUGUCGUUCUGCCCGCCACCACUGUGGGGAGGCUAGAGAGGGGGCCCGCUAGUUUAAACUAACGAAGAUAAGCAGGCAUAUGUACAACAACAAUCGGAAAUUUUAAAUGUCGUCGACCUACCUACAAAAGAGACAACUUACUCAACAUACAUGUAACCGCCGAGCAUGAUCUACUGCUGAGGGCAUGUACCACAAUUGACCAUAUGUUUAACACCACGACCAAUGUAUGUCACCAUGUACACUGAUGAUGAGGGAGGCUUUUAUUAGUGCUCGAGAUAGG